UACCAAAAACAUGUGGUCUGGAGCUG
rnacentral:piRNA from 2 species